UAAUACGGAGGGGGUUAGCGUUGUUCGGAAUUACUGGGCGUAAAGCGUACGUAGGCGGAUUAGUAAGUUAGAGGUGAAAUCCCGGGGCUCAACCCCGGAACUGCCUUUAAUACUGCUAGUCUUGAGUUCGAGAGAGGCGAGUGGAAUUCCAAGUGUAGAGGUGAAAUUCGUAGAUAUUUGGAGGAACACCAGUGGCGAAGGCGGCUCACUGGCUCGAUACUGACGCUGAGGUACGAAAGUGUGGGGAGCAAACAGGAUUAGAUACCCUGGUAGUCCACACCGUAAACGAUGAAUGCCAGACGUUGGAUAGCAUGCUAUUCAGUGUCACACCUAACGGAGUAAGCAUUCCGCCUGGGGAGUACGGUCGCAAGAUUA
rnacentral:rRNA from 1 species